rnacentral:rRNA from 1 species
UACGGGGGGGGGCAAGCGUUGUUCGGAAUUACUGGGCGUAAAGGGCUCGUAGGUGGCCAACUAAGUCAGACGUGAAAUCCCUCGGCUUAACCGGGGAACUGCGUCUGAUACUGGAUGGCUUGAGUUUGGGAGAGGGACGCGGAAUUCCAGGUGUAGCGGUGAAAUGCGUAGAUAUCUGGAGGAACACCGGUGGCGAAGGCGGCGUCCUGGACCAACACUGACACUGAGGUGCGAAAGCGUGGGGAGCAAACAGGGAUUAGAAACCCCAGGGUAG